AUUGAACGCUGGCGGCAGGCCUAACACAUGCAAGUCGAGCGGAUGAAGGGAGCUUGCUCCUGGAUUCAGCGGCGGACGGGUGAGUAAUGCCUAGGAAUCUGCUUGGCAGUGGGGGAUAACGUCCGGAAACGGGUGCUAAUACUGCAUACGUCCUGAUGGAGAAAGAGGGGGAUCUUCGGACCUCACGCUAUCAGAUGAGUCUAGGUCGGACUAGUUAGCUGGUGGGGUAAAGGCCUACCAAGCCGAGCAUCCGUAACUGGUCUGAGAGGAUGAUUGGUCACACUAGAACUUGAACACGGUCCUGGCUCCUGCGGGAGGCAGCAGUGGGGAAUGUUGGACAAUAGUCGGAAGCCUGAUCCAGCCAUGCCACGUGUGUGGAGAAGGUCUUCGGAUUGUAAAGCACUUUAAGUUGGGGGGAAGGGCAGUAAGUUAAUACCUUGCUGUUUUGACGUUACCAACAGAAUAAGCACCGGCUAACUUCGUG
rnacentral:rRNA from 1 species